rnacentral:rRNA from 1 species
UACUUGCACAAUGGGCGAAAGCCUGAUGCAGCGACGCCGCGUGAUGGAUGAAGGCCUUCGGGUUGUAAACUUCUUUUAUCAGGGAAGAAGGAAGUGACGGUACCUGAUGAAUAAGCCCCGGCUAACUACGUGCCAGCAGCCGCGGUAAUACGUAGGGGGCGAGCGUUGUCCGAAUUUACUGGGCGUAAAGCGCGCGUAGGCGGACUUUUAAGUCGGUGGUGAAAUCUUGGGGCUUAACCCUGAAACUGCCGCCGAAACUGGGAGUCUUGAGGUAUGGAGAGGGAAGUGGAAUUCCUGGUGUAGCGGUGAAAUGCGUAGAUAUCAGGAGGAACACCCGUGGCGAAGGCGGCUUCCUGGUCAUAUCCUGACGCUGAGGUGCGAAAGCCAGGGGAGCGAACGGGAUUAGAUACCCCGGUAGUCCUGGCCGUAAACGAUGGAUACUAGGUGUUAGUGGUAUCGACCCCACUAGUGCCGCAGCUAACGCAAUAAGCAUCCCGCCUGGGGAGUACGGCCGCAAGGUUG